GCCCAUUCCCUCCUUUCUCAUUCCCCUUCUCUCUGUCUCCCUCUCUCGACUUACAACCAUAAGCUGACAGAGACGACUAAUGGAUUCAGACGAGGGGAAGCUCUUUAUUGGGGGAAUAGCAUGGGACACCACGGAGGAAACUCUUCGAGACCACUUCUCCCAGUACGGAGACGUUUCCCAGGUUGUAAUAAUGCGGGACAAGACUACUGGUCGACCUCGUGGCUUUGGUUUCGUGGUUUUCUCCGAUCCUUCAAUUCUCGAUCGCGUCCUCCAGGACAAGCACACCAUCGAUGGCCGUACUGUUGAGGCUAAGAGAGCUUUAUCAAGAGAAGAACAACAGACCUCCUCUAGAUCUGGUAAUGUUAAUGCUGGUAGGGGCUCUAGUGGUGGUGGUGGUGGAAAUUUUAAGACCAAAAAAAUAUUUGUCGGUGGUUUGCCAUCCACCCUGACAGAAGAUGGCUUCCGUGAAUAUUUUGAAAAUUAUGGUCAUGUAACUGAUGUGGUAAUAAUGUUUGACCAGCAUACUCAGAGGCCUCGUGGCUUUGGAUUUAUCACCUUUGACACUGAAGAUUCAGUUGAUAGAGUACUUCACAAGGUCUUCCAUGAGCUGAAUGGUAAACUUGUAGAGGUAAAACGGGCACUCCCAAAAGAUGCAAAUCCAGGUAGUGGGGCCCAUGGUGGGGGAUAUCAAGGUUAUGGUGCCUCUGGUGCCAAUACAAAUGCUGUUGAUGGUCGAAUGGUUGGAAACAGAUAUAUGCAGACCCAAACUUCUGCAGGUGGGUAUACACCUUAUUCUGGUUAUGGCACACCAAGUUAUGGUUAUGGUGCAACAAACAGUGGAGUUGGUUAUGGUGGUUAUGGUAGUUAUGGU
rnacentral:misc_RNA from 1 species